AGAGUUUGAUCAUGGCUCAGAAUCAACGCUGGCGGCGUGCCUAACACAUGCAAGUCGAACGAGAAAGUGGUAGCAAUACCAUGAGUAAAGUGGCGCACGGGUGAGUAACACGUGACUAACCUACCCUGGAGUGGGGGAUAACUGAGGGAAACCUUAGCUAAUACCGCAUAAUACCUACGGGUCAAAGGAGCAAUUCGCUUCAGGAGGGGGUCGCGGCCGAUUAGUUAGUUGGCGGGGUAAUGGCCCACCAAGACAGUGAUCGGUAUCCGGCCUGAGAGGGCGCACGGACACACUGGAACUGAAACACGGUCCAGACUCCUACGGGAGGCAGCAGUGGGGAAUUUUGCGCAAUGGGGGAAACCCUGACGCAGCAACGCCGCGUGGAGGAUGAAGUCCCUCGGGACGUAAACUCCUUUCGAUCGGGACGAUUAUGACGGUACCGGAAGAAGAAGCCCCGGCUAACUUCGUGCCAGCAGCCGCGGUAAUACGAGGGGGGCGAGCGUUGUUCGGAAUUAUUGGGCGUAAAGGGUGCGUAGGCGGUUUGGUAAGUCUUAUGUGAAAUCUAUGGGCUCAACUCAUAGACUGCAUGAGAAACUGCCGGGCUUGAGUAUGGGAGAGGUGAGUGGAAUUCCUGGUGUAGCGGUGAAAUGCGUAGAUAUCAGGAGGAACACCUGUGGCGAAAGCGGCUCACUGGACCAUAACUGACGCUGAUGCACGAAAGCUAGGGGAGCAAACAGGAUUAGAUACCCUAGUAGUCC
rnacentral:rRNA from 1 species